rnacentral:misc_RNA from 1 species
AGCCCGUGCGCGUCCACCAGACACACCGCACACAUUUUUCAAACCCGCUUAGGUAUGGGACGUGUGCCGGUCGCGAAUGCGCGACUGUACCGCCGCUUGGCCGGCGAAGCGCGUCGGCUGGCUCUGCUGCUGGAGGCUGCCGCCACGGCGUUGCAAAACGCGGCGGACUUGUCAGCCCCUCGCUCGACGAUAAGUCCUGCAAGCACGUGUGAGUCGGCCGCACCAUCGCCACAAGAUCACUCUGCUAGCGUGGCAGCCGUAUGGAGAGAGUCCGCCGCUAUCAGCAAUCAUCAGCAACACGGCUUCGAGCGCACAGACGCGCACACAAAACGGCACCUGAUCACGGCCGCCGCAAGCUCAUCCCCUGCGAGCAUGGAAGCUGACACCGCCUUUGCUACGGUGCCCGACUCCGACUCAGCCACGCAUAUUACUUCGUCCGCGGCCGUCUGCUCGGCAACUGCAGAAUCGGCCGUGCGCCGGUUCUGUGACUGGGCGGAGGGAGUGGAUCGCUCAUCGGACAUAGGCGGCUGUGCCAGCUUCUCGGCAGUUAGUACUACCUCACCGCUGCCGACAAGCGUCUCUCUGAACUGGCUGCACGCGUGGCUAGCGAGCAUGGCGGCUACCGUUGCUGUGACUAGCCGUGAUGCCGCUGCGGUAUCAGCGCCUGUAGUUCAACCCGUGCAGGCGCAUCAUUCCCUCACCGGAGGUGCGGCGAUGACACGUGAGAGGACAAAACUGCCCACCUCCACAUCGGGCAGGCUGAGUGAAGUCGACAUGACUUUAGCCAACACGGUUGCCUCUUGCAUCGGCCUCCCAAGUCGCUUCCACUGGCCGUCAGCAUCACCGAGGACCUCCUUGCUCACCGGUGACACCGCUCGUGGCUACUCAGCAGACCACGGCGGCAGCCACCGCCCAGCGCACGCAGCACUGAUGCUAUGGCCCACCGCCAUGCGCACGAACAGCGGCCAUAUCGCGCCACGUCCGCCGACAUCGUUGAACUCAUGUGGCGCAGCUGCUCUGACGGCGCUGCCCGCCGUUGCAACUGCGAAGGAGGUGUUCGCCAAGGCCUCGACACGGGCGCCAACGCCGUCUAACACAGCCACCGACGGCGGUGGAGCGCUUUACUCGACUACGCUGGAGGCCUACACCGUCCUGCUACACACAGCCCGAACGCAGGCGGUGACGCGUGGUACUGACCAGCACAACGCCUUUGCCAGCAGCGAGUCUGCCAAGCAACACAGCAGCCGGCUCGUGCUGUACUGCGGUGAUCAGUGCGACGCGCUGCUUGUGCGGGCAGCGCAGCUGCUCGGUAUCGCAUAUGUGCGUGUCACUCAAACAGUUGCGAUGAAGCGCGAUUUGCCGCUGCCCGAAGCUCACUCGACAGGCACCGCCGCUGCUGGUGAUGUGUCGUGCAGCAUCUACAAUUAUGCGGUGGACGUGCGCGAGCUGCAGUCUCGCCUCGUGGAGGACGUUGCAGCGGGCUUGUACCCUCUCAUGGUUGUUGGCACAUUUGGCUCUGGCCUCAGUGGCUCCGUGGAUCCGCUGCUCGUCAUGGGUGAGUUCUGCCAGCGAUUCGGUGUGUGGUUCCACAUCGAUGCGAGCCACGGCGGUACCGCUCUGCUCGCGGGCCCCGCUGAGAACGUCGCUCCGCCGGCGCGGCUGCAGCGUGACGCCAUUCUUACACAAUUCUAUGCCGCGGCUUCGCUGGCCGACUCCGUCCUGGUGCCGACUGGCUUGUCGACUGCCGUGCCGUACGCGGCGCUGCCCGUCUCUCCGGCGAGUCGCUUCGCCACCGCGGGCUCCGCGGCACUUUUCUUUGCGCACAUUCGCAAGGCUGCCUGGUCCGUUCAGGCCCUCGGGGAGGCACGGCAGCGCACCUUCAACCAGUGGAUCACCCCCGGUGUGGUGGAGAGCGACGUCCUGCAUGUGUCGCCGCCGUCGCACAUGGAGGCGUGGCUAUUCGAGCAGCACGUGACGGGUGCGCUGGCGCCGAUGCGGUCGUGGUGCGCAAAACCACGCGCAUAUCUUCAGCCUGUGCCAGCGGCGCCGUUGGCGCUUGCGGAGCGUGUUAGCGCACACCAGCAGUUUGUGCGUGCUGUGCUGCAGGCCGUUCGCGGCGACGGCCGCUUCGACGCCUCGUUAGACGCCGCCGCCUUUGGCAUUGUGUGCCUGCGGUGGCUUACGGCGGCGGACGAGGCCACUGUGCGGCUCGCGCGCGCCUGGGCCGAGGUUCUCGCGGAGGCCCACGACACGCCGACCACGUUGCAGGGCAAACAUGUGGCCUCAGCGCCCGCGCAUCAGUCAGGUUCCCACCGCACGCCCAACGCCGGCGGAUCAUCUGCAAUCGAUGUGGAGGGGGGCGGACGCACCGUACCACCGGUGCAGGUGUUCGUGGGGCUGGUGCAGCUACAACGGCGCGUUUGGAUCCAUGUCUCGUUCGGACCUCUCCUCGACGUGCCUGAGGACGCACCGGCGAGCUUGGUGGCGGCCGGAAAGGGUGCUGCCAGUGUCACUGUACAAGGUGAACCGGUGACUUUCACGAGGAUGCGUGCCCUAACCUACGUGCAGCACACCUUGAACAGAGCUGCCUCGCUCGCGCGCACCGGCGGCGCUGCAGACCGCAUGCCAGAGGAGUAGUUGGGCCACCAUGUGUGUCUCUGUGAAGCCAGCCAGCGUGCGCGCUGCGCUGGGCUUGCGUUAGCACACAUCUUCACACAUCCCAAGCAUGGUUGGGGGCCGGGGCACGAGUAAAGCGAAGCGAAAAAAAAAACGAACUGAGGAAACAACAACCAAGCGCGUGUGCCGCAGAACGCACGGACAUGGCACCUGGAGGCCGCACUCUCCUACACCCUUCCUCCCGACCAUCGCCGUCGCACCCACAAACACGCACGCCACAGGGUCAGAAAAGCAGAAGGGGAGAGAGACAACUGCUUCCUCGCAUGCGCUGCGUGACGCACUGCCACCCCUCACAGUGUUGCCUCACUGAGGUACGCAACUAACACACACACGUACUCUUGCUGCCGGUUUGGGGCCUCCCCUGGUGACUGGAGAGACACCGCUUGGCGUGGUGUCCAGUGCGCGGUGCCUCGCUCCGUAUGGGGAGACCCAGCAGCAGCCCUCACCCCCAUCCCUGCCGAACGCCGCACCACCUCCGGCGGUGACAGGCUCAGGCGCCUGCGACGUGGCGAGGUCAGAGCGACGUAUCGCUACAGAUGUCGGCGGUCAGGUCCUGGGCUGCGUGGCGUCGCGGCGGCAUGCGAAGCGGCUGUUGGUGGGUAGAGCUUGGGGCGGGGGCCGUGCUCCCCGAUGACCGAGUCGGCGCACUGCUGUACCGUGUGCGUCUACGGCUGCUUCGCACCAGUCGACGGGCGCCCGUGGCAGGAGGGGCCGGAGGUGCAUGUGUGUGUGUGUCAGAGGUGGCGGUGUAGGGUGUGGUGUUUGGCCUCGCCUGGUGCACGGUAGAGUGGCAGUCUAACGCUGGCAAAAGGAAAAAAGUGCAGUGUGGACGUUAGAUGGUUGUGAUGGCGGGUCGCAUGACGGCGCAUAUGCGGGCAGCAGCGGGAGGAAUGCACGUUUUCGUUGCUGCACCACGUUGGGGGCAUCUCUUUACUUCUGUCCACUGCUCUCUCCGCCUCUCUGCCUAUGAUGACGCUUUACGGCCACCGCGCACACCCUGUGCGCCUCCCUUCUCCGUACCCGGUCCCCUUCGCGUGCGUGGCGCACACACAG